rnacentral:rRNA from 1 species
AACGAACGCUGGCGGCAUGCCUAACACAUGCAAGUCGAACGAGACCUUCGAGUCUAGUGGCGCACGGGUGCGUAACGCGUGGGAACCUGCCCUUAGGUUCGGAAUAACUCCCCGAAAGGGGUGCUAAUACCGGCUAAUGUCUUCGGACCACCGAUUUAUCGCCUUUGGAUGGGCCCGCGUUGGAUUAGCUAGUUGGUAGGGUAAAAGCCUACCAAGGCGACGUGACAUAGCUGGUCUGAGAGGAUGCUCAGCCACACUGGGACUGGGACACGGCCCAGAAUCCUGCGGGAGGCAGCAGUGGGUAAUAUUGGAAAGUGGGCGAAAUCCUGAUCCAGCAAUGCCGCGUGAGUGAUGAAGGCCUUAGGGUUGUAAAGCUCUUUUACCCGGGAUGAUAAUGACAUUACCGGGAGAAUAAGCUCCGGCUAACUCCGUG